rnacentral:lncRNA from 12 species
CUGGUCUUGAGAAGAUACAUGACAAAGGGGAAACAGUUAUAUCCUUGAGCCAGGCUUCAGUUUCCUGCUCUGUCACUUAUCUCUGGAACUCUGGGAAAGUCCGGAAACUUUGUGAACCCCUGUUUCCUCAGCUGUGAAAAAGGGCAAGAACCAAAAUGCUUUUACUUUUGAAAUUCUGCCUAAAUGACAAGGUAAUGGGCAAAAGGAUAAUAUUCUGUCUGUCUGAGAGGACAGAAUUAGAUGAUCGGAGGACACCUCCUGGUGCUAGUGACUUUCGCAUUGUCAGGUUGUGUUCGGAAAAGGGGUUAUGGAGACCAGCAACCUGAAUGCCAUCUGGCAUUGCUGCAUCCUGGCAAUGUGACCUUGGUCAGCUUUACCUCUUUGUGCCCCAGCUUCAGCUCUGUCUAGUGAAGGCACUUCUAGUUCCCAUCUGGCAGUGCUAUUGUGAAGAUCCAAUAGUUAGGUUGGGUCAGUUGUCUAAGUCUCCAGAACAGUGCCCAACAAACCUAAGUGCUCAAUAAAUUAGCUUCUAUCAUUAUAGUCAUUGUGUUGCUUUGUCACUGUCAGCUGUAAGCUUCUCUGCUUCCACACUCACACUCCUACAAGGUGGGCUUUCAUACUUAACAGUCACAGAUUGUAUUUGUUCAGGAUCUUUACUCUGGUUUCAAAUUGGAGCAACUUGCUUUCUCAAGGGACAGUAUCUAUUGUAUGGCCUCCUUUUGGGAAAUAAAGAACAGACAUCACCAAACUCUGAGAUUCAGGAAAACAGAGAAGGGCUUUGGCGUUCCAUUUCCAUGAGAUUACACUGGUGAAACAAAAUGGCUUGCUGGUUCCCGUUCUGUUCUCUGUGUCAUUCCCCAAUAGGGGGUGGGAAAAUUGCAGGAGCAGGAAGCCAGCAGAGCUACACAUUGUCACCCUGGGAAGACCCAUGGGUUCACAUUCCCAAAGCUUAGGCUGUCUCCCUCCCAGAUGGGCUAAGUAGCCCAUGCCAACUUCCAGGGCUUCAGAAAAACAAUGCCUGCAUGUCAUUCAGGGAGAGCCUCAGAGAGCAGCUGAGCAAUGGAAAUCAGAUCUCCAGCUAUCGACACAGAAGUCAGAGUGGAAACCUGUGGUAUCCUGCCUGCAGAGAGGAGAACCAGAGCCCCCCUUCUUCCUGGGACUCCUCCUGCCUGUGUGCCGGUGGUUGGUUUUUUGGCAGGAGUAAAAGAUCUCUCCGUUCUCAUUUAUUUUGUAAAGAAUGACAUAUUGGUGGGCAUGAGUACCGCAUAAAGCUUGCUUCAUAAAGAACGAGGAGAGGAAGAAACUGACAAGAACGAACCUCCAUUCAAUUCACUCAAGAGAAUUGUGGGUUCAUGCAGAAAUAAGCAGUACUGGAGAGUGGAUUUAUAAUGUUUGUUACACAAAUUCUACCUUAUUUUUUAACAUUGUGACCUUGGGCAAAUUAACCCCUCCGAGAUUGUUUCUUCAUCAGUAAAAUAAAGACAAUCUUUAAUAUCUGGUUCCA